rnacentral:misc_RNA from 1 species
GCUGAUGCCAAGAAGACGAUAAGGAAAAUCCUUCACUGACUGAUAGAUUUUGUCACUCUAGAAAUUGAGCUUUGUAGUUCUUUAGAGUGAAAAAGAAGUUAAGAGCGGUAAUGGCGAGUGGAGGGUAUGGAGGUCCGAGCAAGAAGAUAGAUUGUGUUGAAGGUAGUGUUGAUUGGGGAUUCGACGGUGGGGAAAUCGCACAUACUAGCUCAAUGGACAAGAAAAUGCUCUCCUAACGCAUGCCCUCUUUCUCGCUCUCUCGAUAAAUUUCUAGGGUUUCGAGUUUCUCUACUCAUAAUCCCUUCUUCUUCUUCUUUAACAAAUGACAGUUGUCUUCUUUUCGAUCUCUCCUUCUCGCACUACUUGUGGCUCUCUCCUUCAAGAAUUGUGGGUCUCCUCUACUUGGAUUGCCUUUAUUGAUUGAUUUUAUGUUUGGUUUGCUUAUUCAGAAAUUAAAAGAAAUGGCGAGAAAUCAAAAUUUAGAACUGAAUGAUAACAGACGUAUAUGAACACGCAAGUGGCCAAACUAGUGUUUGGUAAUGUCAUGGAGUUAGAGAUUUGGGAAUUGAAAUUGGGUGGUAUAGGAAGAUGUGGAAGUCUUGCAAGUUCUG